rnacentral:lncRNA from 1 species
GCAUGGCACCCUGGGUGGGCUGCAGGGCAGGGGCCAUUCCCAGUUCUUCCAUCUGUGGGGGAAAGCUGUGAUCAGUGGUUGGGCCCUUCUGAGUGGGCGUUAUUACAAAUGAGGAAAUGCUGGGGGUGACAGCAUGGACAGGGCCCAUACACAGGCCUGGCUGUGGUGCCCAGAAUGCCAGCACGACCUUGGCCACCCUGCCCAACAAGGCUCACCUGCUGCCAGAUGGUGGUGGCAAAGUCGGCGACGUCCAGCUGCAGUGUGUCCAAGGUGGGACCCAACUCGGGGGAGAUCCCUUCCAGGGCCUGCAGGAGCCCCUGGUAGAGGAAAAGGCCGCUAUGGAGUUGGCUCAAGCAGCCUGCCUGUGAGACAGAGCGGAAGAGUUAGGGGGUGCUGCCUGAGAUACGUCAGGCCCCCAGCUUGGAAC